UACAGAGGGGGCAAGCGUUGUUCGGAAUUACUGGGCGUAAAGGGCGCGUAGGCGGCCUUCUAAGUCGAACGUGAAAUCCCCGGGCUCAACCCGGGAACUGCGUCCGAUACUGGAAGGCUUGAAUCCGGGAGAGGGAUGCGGAAUUCCAGGUGUAGCGGUGAAAUGCGUAGAUAUCUGGAGGAACACCGGUGGCGAAGGCGGCAUCCUGGCCCGAUACUGACGCUGAGGCACGAAAGCGUGGGGAGCAAACAGG
rnacentral:rRNA from 1 species